rnacentral:lncRNA from 1 species
AGAUGAGGAUAAAGACCAUUGAUGCAAUCUUCACCUAUGGCACCAAGGGCCAGGACAACAGCUUCCCGUUCUUUGCGAGCAUCAAGGAAGAGAAACAGAAUAAAAUUUUGCACCAAGAGGAGAAGAAUUCAAGAGAGCAAAGUCACUCUAGCCUAUCCAAGAAUUGGUAGAUUUCUUAUUCAUAUUACAUAGGUCUUAUUUUAUAUUCCUGAUACAACCUUUGUUAGGACUCCAUCUAGCUAAUUUACUUUACUGAGUAAUUUCUUAAUCAAAUUCUGCAGGACUCCUUUUUUGAGGCAAUUGCAUGCUUACUAUGUCUUCUCUUGCUGCAUCACCUUCUGCAUUAC